rnacentral:rRNA from 1 species
GUGGGGAAUCUUGCGCAAUGGGCGAAAGCCUGACGCAGCCAUGCCGCGUGAAUGAUGAAGGUCUUAGGAUUGUAAAAUCCUUUCACCGGUGAAGAUAAUGACUGUAGCCGGAGAAGAAGCCCCGGCUAACUUCGUGCCAGCAGCCGCGGUAAUACGAAGGGGGCUAGCGUUGCUCGGAUUUACUGGGCGUAAAGGGCGCGUAGGCGGACAUUUAAGUCAGGGGUGAAAUCCCGGGGCUCAACCUCGGAACUGCCUUUGAUACUGGGUGUCUUGAGUAUGAGAGAGGUGUGUGGAACUCCGAGUGUAGAGGUGAAAUUCGUAGAUAUUCGGAAGAACACCAGUGGCGAAGGCGACACACUGGCUCAUUACUGACGCUGAGGCGCGAAAGCGUGGGGAGCAAACAGGAUUAGAAACCCCGGUAGUCC